CUCGUUUCUGGCCGCCGUGAUCGCUCCUGCAUCGUCUGAAAUCUGUUGCUGCAGCGAUGCACUCUGAAGAGGAAUAGUCAGAAGGGUCCGUGUUGGCCUCCUCCAGGGAGCUCACGUGGUUCAGGUACAAUGCCAGACGGUCAUUGAGGUUCUGCAUGGCCACCUUCUCGUUCCCAGAGAAGAGUCCUGGCUCGUUGUUAAUGAAGCCAACGCUAUUUCCCCGACUCGACCCCUCAUUGCCAAAGCUUCCUCCAGAAGAGAUCCCCGCAAGGGUGCAAGAAAAGCUGCUUUCUGCUCCCGGCCCAACACACACAUUCCCGGCCACAAAGCCUGCCCCUCCCCUGGACAGCCUGACAGACCCAGCUCGAGAACAGACCCUGGAUCCCCCUGAAAAUCGAAAAGACAUGGCGACAGCACAGCACGGCAGCCUUUCCCCAGACAGGCGCAAAGUCGAAGUUUAUCCUCCAUGGGCCGACAGCUCCACUGGCUUUUAUAGGACUCAAUCUUAGCCAUGCCGAUCUGUAAUAAAACGUUAUUCAUAUCCUAA